rnacentral:rRNA from 1 species
CUAAGCGUUAUCCGGAUUACUGGGCGUAAAGCGUGCGCAGGCGGUUAUGUAAGACAGAUGUGAAAUCCCCGGGCUCAACCUGGGAACUGCAUUUGUGACUGCAUGGCUAGAGUACGGUAGAGGGGGAUGGAAUUCCGCGUGUAGCAGUGAAAUGCGUAGAUAUGCGGAGGAACACCGAUGGCGAAGGCAAUCCCCUGGGCCUGCACUGACGCUCAUGCACGAAAGCGUGGGGAGC